AUUAAUUCAUAUCAAUUCUCAAAACACAAAUAAUAAAACUAUAAAUAAUGCUGAAAAAUUUCUUAGAGAAAAUCCAUGUUAAUGAUUUUCCUAAAAGGUAUAUUUCUAAGCUUUGAGGGUAAAUUUGAAGUUAUGCAAAUAAAGUUUCAAAACAAUGAUACCUUUCCAAAUCUGUUUUUUACUGGAAUCAGAUGUGGAUUUCGAAAAAGGGUAGCGGGCCUGGCCCCAAUCUAGACAAUGUUCAGAGUGGGACUUAUAUAUAGCUCCAUAUGGAGAGAGCCAUGGCACCCUGCCCUCAUGUCCCCUAAAUCCUCCUCUUGGAUUUCUAUAUUUCAUAUUGUCAUCAUAUUUAAUGUUACAUUAACCAGGCAACACUGUAUAAGAAAUAUGUAUUUGAUGUUAGACAUUUGUGUUUUAUUUGUUAGACAUAUGUGGUACAUUGUUUUCUACAUGUAUGUUAGAAAAAGUGAUGCAAAAUUUACAAUAUAUAUAUACUAUCUGGUAUCAAUUAAUAAAAAUUGAACAAAAAUAA
rnacentral:lncRNA from 1 species